GGCUGUUGAUUUUCUUAGUAUAGGUGGCGCUGUCGAGCCAUUUCUCCACACCCUCUUCUGAAUCCUAUAUUAGAUGAAAAUUUUCACCAGGUUUGACGCGUGUGCAAAGUUUCAUGACUUUUUGAGCAUGUUUAAGCCCUCAAAAAUGCGAUUCAUUUUGGAGAAGAAGAAGAACCGGAAUAAUAAAUAUAGCUGCAAGCAGCGAUGGCGGGCUCAAGCCAUCAGUGCGAAUGCCACCCCGGUGGCAUCAGGUAAACUGUGCCCAGCGGGCACAUGCAUUAAUAAUAUCCCUCUGGCAGUGAGGUUUUAAAGGAUACGGCAGUUAAAGGGUUAAUCCGAAUCAUCUAGACUUUAAAAUCACAUUCACAGAACAAUAUAUAUAACUUUAGUAACACUUUACAAUAAGAUUGCAUUUAUAAACAUUAACUAUGUUAACAUGAACAAUAUUUAUAUAGCAUUCAUUCAUGUCAGUUAAUAUUCUAAACUUAAACAUUAAAACAUUGUUUUAUUGUGAUUUUUUUUCCAAGCCCAUUUUACCAAUUCCAAACCAUAUCAAUCUUAAUAACUACCAUUAUUUUUUAUUUAAUCAUUUGACUGGAAGAGAAAAACUCCAUAUAUUCAUGUGUGCAGAAUUAUUAGGCAUGUUUUCUUUUACAGAUGAAAUGCGCUAAAAAAAGAGUUUUAACUCAAACUGUAAAGUCGAAAAUUAUGAAAUCCCCAUGAGAAAUAUCAAACACAAAUGCAAUACAGAAAUGGAUAAGUUAAGACUUGACCAUUGUAAUAAAAAUGCUGACUGGGUCAUGAGGUCAGAAAAGAAGAAGAAAAAAAAAACAGGUUGAGAAGAACUGACAAA